rnacentral:misc_RNA from 1 species
AGCAAUUAAUUUAUAUCUUAUCAAUCUAUACAGAGAAACUCACCUCUCUUUCUCGGUAAAAAAGAAGCCUUGAUGAUAUCACAUAUUAUCAUUAGGAGGAGCAACGUGAUGAGGAUGAUGCGGGUAAGACACGAUCGAACCAUAAUUAUUCCCGCUCCAAUCCCUCUGUUGUAACAUAUUAUAGGGAAGAUUACCAUCGAAUCCCUGAUGAUGGUGAUGAUUGCCCAUGUGUCCAUACAUCGGCAUUGGCAUCAUCGGCCCCGCCGCCGGAUGAUACGGGACAGGAAUGGGCAUUCCCAAGUGGCCAUUCCCGUGGGCGGCUCCAUUCCCUCCACUACCACCACCACCAGCGCCUGCGCCACUACCACUCUCGUGCAAGCUCUGCGGCACGGGCGUAGAGGCAAACAACUGAUCAGAAGACGAGGGACCCUCACUCGACAACCCCUGCAUCCUCUUCAAAUAAAGGCGGUACUUUUGCAAAUGGCUCGCCACAUUCUCGCGGGUCAAACCUUCCACGUUCAUCAACUGCAUGAUGGUCUU